rnacentral:rRNA from 1 species
UACAGAGGUGGCAAGCGUUGUUCGGAAUUACUGGGCGUAAAGGGCGCGUAGGCGGUUCGUUAAGUCCUGUGUGAAAUCCCCCGGCUCAACUGGGGAACUGCACAGGAAACUAGCGGGCUUGAGUUCUGGAGAGGGAAGCGGAAUUCCGGGUGUAGCGGUGAAAUGCGUAGAUAUCCGGAGGAACACCGGUGGCGAAGGCGGCUUCCUGGACCGACACUGACGCUGAGGCGCGAAAGCUAGGGGAGCAAACGGG